rfam:Triticum aestivum genome assembly, contig: Triticum_aestivum_CS42_TGACv1_scaffold_249549_3DL
CAACUACUCCCUCCGUUCCAAAUUACUCGUCGCAGAAAUGGAUGUAUCUAGAACUAAAAUACAUCUAGAUACAUCUAUACCUGUGACAAGUAAUUCGGAACGGAGGGAGUACAUG